UAAUACGUAGGGGGCGAGCGUUGUCCGGAUUUACUGGGCGUAAAGCGCGUGUAGGUGGCGGCUUAAGUCGGGUGUGAAAGCCCGGGGCUCAACCCCGGGAUGCCGCUCGAGACUGGGUCGCUUGAGGACGGCAGAGGGGCGUGGAAUUCCUGGUGUAGCGGUGAAAUGCGUAGAGAUCAGGAGGAACACCCGUGGCGAAGGCGGCGCCCUGGGCCGUCCCUGACACUGAGACGCGAAAGCGCGGGGAGCGAACGG
rnacentral:rRNA from 1 species